ACGGAGGGUGCAAGCGUUAUUCGGAUUCAAUGGGUUUAAAGGGUGCGUAGGCGGCUUUUUAAGUCAGUGGUGAAAUCCUAGUGCUUAACACUAGAACUGCCAUUGAAACUAAAAAGCUUGAGUCAAGGAGAGGUAAGCAGAAUUUAUGGUGUAGCAGUGAAAUGCUUAGAUAUCAUAAGGAAUACCGAUAGCGAAGGCAGCUUACUGGCCUUGUACUGACGCUGAGGCACGAAAGCGUGGGGAGCAAACAGGA
rnacentral:rRNA from 1 species